rnacentral:rRNA from 1 species
CCUACGGGCGGCAGCAGUAGGGAAUAUUGCUCAAUGGGGGAAACCCUGAAGCAGCAACGCCGCGUGGAGGAUGAAGGUUUUCGGAGUGGAAACUCCUUUUGGUAGAGAAGAGAAUGACGGUACCUGAAGAAUAAUGAAUGGCCAACUCCGAGCCAGCAGCGGCGGUAAUACGCAGGGUGCAAUCGUUACUCGGAAUAACUGGGCGUAAAGAGCGCGUAGGCGGGUUAGAAAGUCAGAUGUGAAAUCCUAUGGCUUAACCCUAGAACUGCAUUUGAAACUGUUAUUCUAGAGUAUGGGUGAGGUAGGUGGAAUUCUUGGUGUAGCGGUCAAAUCCGUAGAGAUCACGCGG